GACCCGGACUCGUGCGGUCACAACGCCCAAACCUUGUCAGAACCGGAAGGUAGCAGCAAUACGGGAUGCUUGUGGCAGGCGCGAAAUCCGGGUCUUC
rnacentral:SRP_RNA from 1 species